GUGUGCAGGUUGGUGAAGGUGUAAAUUGAGAUUCAAAUUGACACUGGAUGACGACGACGAUGAAAACGACGAUUCCGCGAUCGAUGAAUGAAUCUCCUCCAGACCGCAGCCUUUGAAAUUCCUUAGAUACUGCACUCGUUGAAAUACGGAGGCUAUAUGCAAACACGACGCUCUCAGCGCUUCAAGUGCAAAACACAGCAUUUACCAGGCUUUGUACGACGCAAUCUCUCCUUCACUACUCUCAGAAGAUCCGCCACAGCGCAGUCAGCCCGCAAACAAGUAAUCCGACCCGAACGAAUCGCGAUCAACGCGAUCCUCAGUGGAGAACCCCUGAGA